rnacentral:rRNA from 1 species
UACAGAGGUCUCAAGCGUUGUUCGGAUUCAUUGGGCGUAAAGGGUGCGUAGGUGGCGCGGUAAGUCGGGUGUGAAAUUUCGGAGCUUAACUCCGAAACUGCAUUCGAUACUGCUGUGCUUGAGGACUGGAGAGGAGACUGGAAUUUACGGUGUAGCAGUGAAAUGCGUAGAGAUCGUAAGGAAGACCAGUGGCGAAGGCGGGUCUCUGGACAGUUCCUGACGCUGAGGCACGAAGGUCAGGGGAGCAAACGGG